GACGAACGCUGGCGGCGUGCUUAAUACAUGCAAGUCAACUUGACUUUAGAUAGCAAUAUCGAAAAGUAGGGUGGCGCACGGGUGCGUAACGCGUAGGUAAUCUGCCCUGAGGUCUGACAUAACCCGUCGAAAGGCGGGCUAACAUCAGAUGAUAUAUAAUCACGACAUCGUGGAAAUAUCAAAUCUUCGGAGCCUUGGGAUGAGCCUGCGUCUGAUUAGGUAGUUGGCGGAGUAAUAGCCCACCAAGCCUACGAUCAGUAGCUGGUCUGAGAGGAUGAUCAGCCACACUGGAACUGAGACACGGUCCAGACUCCUACGGGAGGCAGCAGUAAGGAAUAUUGCUCAAUAGGGGAAACCCUGAAGCAGCAACG
rnacentral:rRNA from 1 species